GACGAACGCUGGCGGCGUGCUUAACACAUGCAAGUCGAACGAAGAGCGAUGGAAGCUUGCUUCUAUCAAUCUUAGUGGCGAACGGGUGAGUAACGCGUAAUCAACCUGCCCUUCAGAGGGGGACAACAGUUGGAAACGACUGCUAAUACCGCAUACGAUCUAAUCUCGGCAUCGAGGAAAGAUGAAAGGUGGCCUCUAUUUAUAAGCUAUCACUGAAGGAGGGGAUUGCGUCUGAUUAGCUAGUUGGAGGGGUAACGGCCCACCAAGGCGAUGAUCAGUAGCCGGUCUGAGAGGAUGAACGGCCACAUUGGGACUGAGACACGGCCCAGACUCCUACGGGAGGCAGCAGUGGGGAAUCUUCCGCAAUGGACGAAAGUCUGACGGAGCAACGCCGCGUGAGUGAUGACGGCCUUCGGGUUGUAAAGCUCUGUUAAUCGGGACGAAAGGCCUUCUUGCGAACAGUUAGAAGGAUUGACGGCACCGGAAUAGAAAGCCACGGCUAACUACGUG
rnacentral:rRNA from 1 species